CGGUAAUUCCAGCUCCAAUAGCGUAUAUUAAAGUUGUUGCCGUUAAAAAGCUCGUAGUCGAACUUCGGCCUUUGCCGCCCGGUCCGCCCUAUGGGUGUGUACUGGAGCGGUGGAGGCCUACCUCGUGGUGAACGGCCAUGCUCUUUACUGGGUGUGGUCGGGAACCAUGAUUUUUACUUUGAAAAAAUUAGAGUGUUCAAAGCAGGCUUACGCCCGAAUACAUUAGCAUGGAAUAAUAAAAUAGGACGUGCGGUUCUAUUUUGUUGGUUUCUAGAAUCGCCGUAAUGAUUAAUAGGGAUAGUUGGGGGCAUUCGUAUUCAAUUGCUAGAGGUGAAAUUCUUGGAUUUAUUGAAGACGAACUACUGCGAAAGCAUUUGCCAAGGAUGUUUUCAUUGAUCAAGAACGAAGGUUAGGGGAUCGAAAACGAUCAGAUACCGUUGUAGUCUUAACAGUAAACGAUGCCGACUAGGGAUCGGACGAGGAUUUUUAAUGACUCGUUCGGCACCUGAAGAGAAAUCUUUAAGUCUAGGUUCGGGGGGGAGUAUGGUCGCAAGGCUGAAACUUAAAGGAAUUGACGGAAGGGCACCACCAGGUGUGGAGCCUGCGGCUUAAUUUGACUCAACACGGGGAAACUCACCAGGUCCAGACACGACAAGGAUUGACAGAUUGAUAGCUCUUUCUUGAUUUCGUGGUUGGUGGUGCAUGGCCGUUCUUAGUUGGAGGAGUGAUUUGUCUGGUUAAUUCCGAUAACGAACGAGACCUUAACCUGCUAAAUAGCCCGGCCGACUUUGGUUGGUCGCUGGCUUCUUAGAGGGACUAUCAGCGUUUAGCUGAUGGAAGUUUGAGGCAAUAACAGGUCUGUGAUGCCCUUAGAUGUUCUGGGCCGCACGCGCGCUACACUGACCGAACCAGCGAGUUUAUCACCUUGGCCGGAAGGCCUGGGUAAUCUUGUGAAACUCGGUCGUGAUGGGGAUAGAGCAUUGCAAUUAUUGCUCUUCAACGAGGAAUACCUAGUAAGCGUGAGUCAUCAGCUCGCGUUGAAUUCGUCCCUGCCCUUUGUACACACCGCCCGUCGCUACUACCGAUUGAAUGGCUUAGUGAGGUCUCCGGAUUGGCUUCUGGGAGCCGGCAACGGCACCUAGUCGCUGAGAAGUUGAACGAACUUGGUCAUUUAGAGGAAGUAAAAGUCGUAACAAGGUAGCCG
rnacentral:rRNA from 1 species